UACGGAGGGUGCAAGCGUUAUCCGGAUUCACUGGGUUUAAAGGGUGCGUAGGCGGAUAUGUAAGUCCGUGGUGAAAUCUCUGGGCUUAACCCGGAAACUACCAUGGAUACUAUGUGUCUUGAAUGUUGUUGAGGUGAGCGGAAUAUGUCAUGUAGCGGUGAAAUGCUUAGAUAUGACAUAGAACACCAAUUGCGAAGGCAGCUCACUAAGCAAAUAUUGACGCUGAGGCACGAAAGCGUGGGGAUCAAACAGG
rnacentral:rRNA from 1 species